rnacentral:rRNA from 1 species
CGCGUAGGCGGCAGGGCAAGUCUGUGGUGGAAUCUCACGGCUUAACCGUGAAAUUGCCAUGGAAACUGCUUUGCUUGAGUCAGUGAGGGGAGGGCGGAAUUCCUGGUGUAGCAGUGAAAUGCGUAGAUAUCAGGAGGAAGGCCGGUGGCGAAGGCGGCCCUCUGGUGCUUGACUGACGCUGAGGCGCGAAAGCGUGGGGAGCAAACA